AUUAUUGUUUAGGGUUUCUUUGGACAAAUUAAAGUUGUAAAAGAAACAUUUGUUUGUAACUUUUAACUGUAAAAGUGUAAGAGAGAGAGAGGUUAGAAGUAAAUUUUAGUUGUAACUUCAUACAUUUUAUUUUUGAACUUUUUCAUAUGAAAAUUAAAGAAAAAGCUUGUUAGAGAAAAACUUCAGAACCCGAAAAACUAAACCGGAACAUACCUUAAAUAUUAGUAUAUAUUAUACUUAUAUAUAGAAAAUAUUCUGAUUUUUUUAGAUAUUUUAAUUAUUUUUGUUUAUUUUUGGAUAUAUUUAAGUAAAAUUACAUGUGUUGUUUUGGGAAUUUUUUAAAAUUUCAAGUAAUUUGAUAGAUUUGCACACAAAAUUUUGAUAUUUUAAUAUUUAAAUAAAUCCGAAACCGACCCGAAAUCUUAAAAUUUAUGGUCAUUACUAUGCAUAACAUAAGAAAAACAUAUGCAUAUGAAAAAAAUUAUGUGCAUAUCACAUCAUCUUAAACAAUCCCAGAUAAUAGAAUUUUUUUUGCAGAUUAUCGGUGCAAAGCUUUCUAAAAAUUCUAUAGUACUACAAGUAAACAUGUUCAUCGUGGUUUUGUGUUUUAACCAUUACUAUGCAUAUUAUAAGUAAAACUUAAGCAAAACAUAUGCAUAUGAAAAAACAUUAUGUGCAAAUCACAUCACCUAAUACUUGUUUAGCAAUGUAAACAUCAAGAAGGAAAACAAGCUAAGUUUGUUCUUAAAAUAGCCGGAAAACCAUACAUCGGUUUCUUUAUUAAAGAACAACCUAAAUUUGUUUUAAGUUUAUUAAAUAAAUAUUGUUUUCAAUCACAUAUGAAUUAACUAGAUUAAAAAGUUUCAAAUUUAUAAAAAUAGUACGUAGAAACAAAUUUUGAAUACUUAACAACAUAUCAGUUCUCACACAUCAUCACUAUUAGCUUCAUGAUUUUUAUUUUUAUUUUAUUCAAAUGUGGUAGUAUAUAUUAUCUGUUUUUUAGGAUUUAUCUUCAAAUAUAUACAUAUUAGUAUUUAAAUUUAGUUAUUGUUAUGGAACAUUUGAGGAAGAAGCAAAUUAAGGGGGAGGGAGGUCAGGUGUUUUAUUCUAAUAGACUAACUGUUAUCCUUAUAAUAUGUAGAAAUAAUCUCUAAUAAUAUGUUUUGUUCGCAGAUAUCGAAUGGAGUUUGCACGUUUAUUGGAUUAGUCCAAAUUGUAAUCUAUGUGUGGUAUAUAAGAAGUCUAGCGCAAGGAUCACCACAGUGGAGAAUGCUUAAAUACCAAAAUACAGUACUUUUAAUUUAAGUUUGUAAUGUUUUUCUGUUUUAUUGUUACUUUCUAUAUUUUCUGUGUGUUUUGUUUAAUAUUGGUAUUUCUUAUGAUGUGAAAUAACAUACGUUAGUAAGAGUGUGUUUUUCCAUAGUUGGUACGGACGAAUAUAUCUAUUUAAUGUCACUAUCUUAUUUAUGUCAUUCGAAUGAGCAUUCUUUGUUUAAAAAUUUUAUGUUUAAAAUUUUAUAAUAUUGCUUUAAAUAAAAAAA
rnacentral:sRNA from 1 species